GCCGGGCAUAGUGGCGGACGCCUGUAAUCCCAGCUACUCUGGAGGCUGAGACAGGAGAAUUGCUUGAACCCAGGAGGCGGAGCUUGCAGUGAGCUGAGAUCACACCACUGCACUCCAGCCUGGGUGACAGAGCAAGAUUCCGUCUCAA
rnacentral:SRP_RNA from 1 species